UACGAAGGGGGCUAGCGUUGCUCGGAAUCACUGGGCGUAAAGCGCACGUAGGCGGACUCUUAAGUCGGUGGUGAAAUCCUGGAGCUCAACUCCAGAACUGCCUUCGAUACUGGGAGUCUCGAGUCCGGGAGAGGUGAGUGGAACUGCGAGUGUAGAGGUGAAAUUCGUAGAUAUUCGCAAGAACACCAGUGGCGAAGGCGGCUCACUGGCCCGGUACUGACGCUGAGGCGCGAAAGCUAGGGGAGCAAACGGGG
rnacentral:rRNA from 1 species